rnacentral:rRNA from 1 species
GACGAACGCUGGCGGCGUGCCUAAUACAUGCAAGUAGAACGCUGAAGGAGGAGCUUGCUUCUCUGGAUGAGUUGCGAACGGGUGAGUAACGCGUAGGUAACCUGCCUGGUAGCGGGGGAUAACUAUUGGAAACGAUAGCUAAUACCGCAUAAUAGUAGAUGUUGCAUGACAUUUGCUUAAAAGGUGCAAUUGCAUCACUACCAGAUGGACCUGCGUUGUAUUAGCUAGUUGGUGAGGUAACGGCUCACCAAGGCGACGAUACAUAGCCGACCUGAGAGGGUGAUCGGCCACACUGGGACUGAGACACGGCCCAGACUCCUACGGGAGGCAGCAGUAGGGAAUCUUCGGCAAUGGACGGAAGUCUGACCGAGCAACGCCGCGUGAGUGAAGAAGGGUUUCGGAUCGUAAAGCUCUGUUGUAAGAGAAGAACGAGUGUGAGAGUGGAAAGUUCACACUGUGACGGUAGCUUACCAGAAAGGGACGGCUAACUACGUA